rnacentral:rRNA from 1 species
AACGAACGCUGGCGGCAGGCUUAACACAUGCAAGUCGAGCGCCCCGCAAGGGGAGCGGCAGACGGGUGAGUAACGCGUGGGAAUCUACCCAUCUCUACGGAAUAACGCAUGGAAACGUGUGCUAAUACCGUAUACGUCCUUCGGGAGAAAGAUUUAUCGGAAAUGGGUGAGGCCGCGUAGGAUCAGCUAGUUGGUGGGGUAAAGGCCUACGAAGGCGACGAUCCAUAGCGGGUCUUAGAGGAUGAUCAGCCACACUGGGCAUGAGACACGGCCCAGACUCCUCCGGGAGGCAGCAGUGGGGAAUAUUGGACAAUGGGCGCAAGCCUUAUCCAGCCAUGCCGCAUGAGUGAUGAAGGCCCUAGGGUUGUAAAGCUCUUUCACCGGUGAAGAUAAUGACGGUAACCGGAGAAGAAGCCCCGGCUAACUUCGUGCCAGCCGCCGCGGUAACAC